rnacentral:rRNA from 1 species
GCGCGAAAACUUUACAAUGCUGGCAACAGCGAUAAGGGAACCUCGAGUGCCAGGUUACAAAUCUGGCUGUCGAGAUGCCUAAAAAGCAUUUCAUAGCAAGGGCCGGGCAAGACCGGUGCCAGCCGCCGCGGUAACACCGGCGGCUCGAGUGGUAACCGUUAUUAUUGGGUCUAAAGGGUCUGUAGCCGGCCGGAUAAGUCUCUUGAGAAAUCUGGCAGCUUAACUGUCAGGCUUUCAGGGGAUACUGUCUGGCUCGAGGCCGGGAGAGGUGAGAGGUACUUCAGGGGUAGGGGUGAAAUCUUGUAAUCCUUGAAGGACCACCAGUGGCGAAGGCGUCUCACCAGAACGGACCUGACGGCAAGGGACGAAAGCUAGGGGCAGGAACC